rnacentral:rRNA from 1 species
GAGUUUGAUCAUGGCUCAGAUUGAACGCUGGCGGAAUGCUUUACACAUGCAAGUCGAACGGCAGCACGGGUGCUUGCACCUGGUGGCGAGUGGCGAACGGGUGAGUAACAUAUCGGAACGUAUCCAGUAAUGGGGGAUAGCUCGGCGAAAGCCGGAUUAAUACCGCAUACGCCCUGAGGGGGAAAGCGGGGGAUCGAAAGACCUCGCGUUAUUGGAGCGGCCGAUAUCUGAUUAGCUAGUUGGUGGGGUAAAGGCCCACCAAGGCGACGAUCAGUAGCUGGUCUGAGAGGACGACCAGCCACACUGGAACUGAGACACGGUCCAGACUCCUACGGGAGGCAGCAGUGGGGAAUUUUGGACAAUGGGGGCAACCCUGAUCCAACCAUUCCGCGUGAGUGAAGAAGGCCUUCGGGUUGUAAAGCUCUUUCGCAAGGGAAGAAAACUUACAUUCUAAUAAAGUGUGAGGCUGACGGUACCUUGAUAAGAAGCACCGGCUAACUACGUGCCAGCAGCCGCGGUAAUACGUAGGGU